GCAAAUAUAUGCAGGAUCUAGCUGUGACCAUGUGAGAAGAUCACUGGUCAAAAAUGAGGGUAUAUCAUUGUCUCUGUUCUUGAGGUAACCUGGGUAUUCUUUCUACUAGUAGAACACAGGUCUGGGACCCCAACUUGGAAAUACACAUGUAAGAACUGUGCCUGCUGUCUCGGGAUGCCUUUCUCUGUGUGUAGUGCUGAUUGUGGUCCUGAUAUCAGAAGAUUAUGGCAGGAAGAAGUGGCAGCCUGCAGCUUUGAUUGUAGUCCCAGCCUAGCAAAUGACAUUUCUAGUGACAUAGGUGAAAGUUUGCUUCUGAGAUAAAUUCUUCACAUCAUGUGUCUUGGUAAUCCACAUGUGUUUGAUCAAAUGAUUGAAAAGUCCAAUUCACAAAUAAAAUAUAUCAAACACUUGCAUUAGCUAUUAUAAGAAUGUGAUCAAUAACAAUGCCCCUUUAAGUAUCACCAUAU